AACAAUGUCGCAAUUUGUAUACCAAGUUUUAUAAGAAUUGUUUCAUAAAAGUAACCAAUGUGUCUGUUCUAUGUCAAGGUAACUACUAGGAUGAAAUACACAAAAAGAUUUUGGUUCACAAUAGGGUAGGCUCCGCGUGCCGUGAACCGGGCAACAGCUUUUGUCAUUUAACAUUUGUGUUUUAAUGGCAUAAGCUGGCAGAUACCCGUUAACUUUAACGAUGUUUUCCGAUAAUUUCUCGGAAAAUACAAUCUAGCAAUUUUGAUUUAAUUUAGAUUACUAAAAAUUAAUAUUAUAUUUAUGCCCCCCCUUGGAAAAAGAGGGGUAUAUUGUUUUGCACAUGUCAGUUGGUUGGUCCACCAGAUGGUUUCCUGAUGAUAACUCAAGAACGCUUUGGCCUAGGAUCAUGAAACUUCAUAGGUUUAUUGAUCUCGAAAUAGUAAAAUGGUUUCCGGAUGAUAACUCAAGAACGCUUACGCCUAGGAUCAUGAAACUUCAUAGGUACAUUGAUGAUGACUCGCAGAUGACCUCUAUUGAUUUUCAGGUCACUAAGUCAAAAGUCAAGGUCACAGUGACUCGAAAUAGAAAAAUGGUUUCCGGAUGAUAACUCAUAAAAGCUUACGCCUAGGAUCAUAAAAUAAAAAAAUCAUAGGUACAUUGAUAAUGACUGGCAGAUGACCCCCUUCAUAGGUACAUUGAUAAUGACUGGCAGAAGACCCCUAUUGAUUUUCAGGUCACUAGGUCAAAAGUCAAGUUCACAGUGACAAAAACGUAUUCACAAUGGCUGCCACUACAACUGACAGCCCAUAGGGGGGCAUGCAUGUUUUACAAACAGCCCUUGUUCUGUGUUAAAAUUAUGUACACGUCUGCGUUAAAUAAAUAUGUUCACAUUUGAAAUAAAGCUAAAAAUGUG